ACAAACACUUGAUAUGUCUUUUGGGAGUUGAUUUUGUUUCCGAAUUCAAAGUCCACGAUCAAAUGAAUACUAUGUUCCAAGCAAGUGCAUGUUAUGCAACACACAUUGGUGAUCUAGAUUCCAGUUGAAUUGCCAAAAUGAUAUUGGGAAGUAGUGGUGGGAUACAUAUCCACUGUCAAAAGCUAAUCAUCAGCUUCCAUUUCAACAAGACAUUUCACAAAAUAAGUAAAUCUCAUUCAUAAUUUGUCUCUACGGUCCCUCAACUGCAGACUGCCGUUUCCUGAAACGUUGGAACAAUAUUAGACCCGAAAGCUGAGCGCCAGCAA
rnacentral:lncRNA from 1 species